rnacentral:rRNA from 1 species
UACGUAGGGGGCAAGCGUUGUCCGGAAUCAUUGGGCGUAAAGCGCGCGUAGGCGGCCCGGUAAGUCCGCUGUGAAAGUCGGGGGCUCAACCCUCGGAUGCCGGUGGAUACUGUCGGGCUUGAGUGCGGAAGAGGCGAGUGGAAUUCCUGGUGUAGCGGUGAAAUGCGCAGAUAUCAGGAGGAACACCAGUGGCGAAGGCGACUACCUGGCCUGUUCCUGACGCUGAGGCGCGAAAGCUAGGGGAGCAAACGGG